rnacentral:rRNA from 1 species
GACUUAAUAAAUUUGUGCUCUAAAUGUUGUUAUUUUAAGCUUUAAGGAUCAAGAUUUUGUGAUUUUGGGGUGGAAUAGGAAAUAAUUUUUUUUUUUUGGUUUAAAAUUUUAGAUUUGGCAAGUGAAACGGAUUAGUACCCGUGUAAUUAAAAUUUAGAAGUUCAGGAGUAAAGUUAUGUUUAAACUGAAAAAAUAUUGGCAGAUUUUUAAAUAAUCUUUGGAGGUUGAGUAAUAAUCGAGAACCCUCGUUAUCUGCUUUUAUUUUUGUUUCAUGUAUGAUCGUCUUUUUUAUUCUUAGGGGUUGUAAGAUUAAAUUUUUGAUUGUUAAGAUAGAUAUAUAUCUGGUUGAUGUAGGAGAAUUGAAUUUGACCUACAAUAUUUUAAGAGGUGGAUUCCUUAUUGUAGGGAUGGGGAUGAAAAUGUAAAAGACAGUAAAAAUUUUUUUAUAUAAUUUUGAAGUUUGUUUAAAAAU